rnacentral:lncRNA from 1 species
UUCUUCUUCAAGAAGAGGUUGCUGGUUCUUCUUACUCCUAGUGUGUAUUGCUUCCUGCAUACACAAGAAACAAAAAACCUAAAAGCACUUUUAAAGAAAAUAAAACAAAAUUAAACAAAACAAAAUAUAAACAAUAAUUACAAACAAGUCAAAUUUUAAGUCAAUUCACACUACUUGAAAAAGUUAAACCUCGAGUCCCCGGCAACGGCG